AGCGAACAGACGAGGAGCUUGCUCCUCUGACGAUAGCGGCGGACGGGUGAGUAACACGUGGAUAACCUACCUAUAAGACUGGGAUAACUUCGGGAAACCGGAGCUAAUACCGGAUAAUAUAUUGAACCGCAUGGUUCAAUAGUGAAAGACGGUUUUGCUGUCACUUAUAGAUGGAUCCGCGCCGCAUUAGCUAGUUGGUAAGGUAACGGCUUACCAAGGCAACGAUGCGUAGCCGACCUGAGAGGGUGAUCGGCCAGACUGGAACUGAGACACGGUCCAGACUCCUACGGGAGGCAGCAGUAGGGAAUCUUCCGCAAUGGGCGAAAGCCUGACGGAGCAACGCCGCGUGAGUGAUGAAGGUCUUCGGAUCGUAAAACUCUGUUAUUAGGGAAGAACAAAUGUGUAAGUAACUAUGCACGUCUUGACGGUACCUAAUCAGAAAGCCACGGCUAACUACGUGCCAGCAGCCGCGGUAAUACGUAGGUGGCAAGCGUUAUCCGGAAUUAUUGGGCGUAAAGCGCGCGUAGGCGGUUUUUUAAGUCUGAUGUGAAAGCCCACGGCUCAACCGUGGAGGGUCAUUGGAAACUGGAAAACUUGAGUGCAGAAGAGGAAAGUGGAAUUCCAUGUGUAGCGGUGAAAUGCGCAGAGAUAUGGAGGACACCAGUGGCGAAGGCGACUUUC
rnacentral:rRNA from 1 species